CGAAACCAAAUCAGGCUCAACCUUUAAAGCCUCUUCAAAAGCAUUAUGGGCCUCAAUUUUCAAGCCCUUAAUCUCAUAACAUUGGCCCAACAAACAAAAGGCCUUAGCCCGAUCCGAACAAUUCAAUUUUACAGCUUCUAAUAGAUCCAUUAAAGCCGAAUCAACCCGUCUCUUCCGGUUCAACGCCACCAGUAACUCCGCCCGUUUCAGCAGCGCAUCCGCUCUUUCGCCGCCGGACAACAACUUCACCGCUGGCGGAGAUAAGGCGGAAUCCAACGAUCUUAAAGCGGAGAGUUUGUGUCCGAUUAGAUCGAGUGAUAAAGCUUUGAGAAUAUGAG
rnacentral:misc_RNA from 1 species